CCCCCUUAUUUUUCUCGAUUUUUCUUGUUGAAGCCACGGAUGUCCUCAUCGUGUUCAUCUCAAAUUCUCGCUAGAGACCUCACCAGAGUCGGAGGUAAGCCACAGCCCUCCUUCCUCUCUUCCUUCCCCUCCUUCCCAUGGCUUCGUGCACCCUCACCAGCCAUUGGGCUCGUUGAAAAAUUCACAAAACAACAAGAUCCUAUUUUACUCUGUUCGGC
rnacentral:lncRNA from 1 species